CAGUUGCUGGUGGGACACAGAGCUUUGGCUCUGAACAGAAAACAAAGAAAGAGCUAAGCCCUCUCAGUGACAGUGACAGUGACGGUACUAUUAUCCUUGACCUCUCUCAUGCCAGCGUACCUGUGCUCACAAGAACAGAAGACAGUGUAAUUAGAGAAAUGCUUGAAUGUGUGGAAGACUCUCUAUCAAGCUCUGAUGUCACUGAGGAUGGGUAUUUUCCUGCUGGAGAGACAGAAAUUGACAGUUCAGCAGAAGAAGAGAGAAAAGUACAGCAAACACAUGUCCAACCACGCAAGAUGGCACCUUCUUGUUCCCUGGCUGCACACACUACAAAGGCAUCCUCGAGCUCUAAGAAAAGACGGCGGUCUGUUGAGUCAGAGAGUGAUGUCCCUCAAAGGAUCCUCAAAACAUAAGACAAGACUGAAACCUGUUGAGACUGGUGGUGACUCUAAAUGAGGAACAUCAAAGAAGAGAAGCUGGUCACCUGGUGAAAUCCGGGCUGUGG